AACUUUCAACAACGGAUCUCUUGGUUCUGGCAUCGAUGAAGAACGCAGCGAAUGCGAUAAGUAAUGUGAAUUGCAGAAUUCAGUGAAUCAUCGAAUCUUUGAACGCCACAUUGCGCCGCCAGCAUUCUGGCGGGCAUGCCUGUUCGAGCGUCA
rnacentral:rRNA from 1 species